CACAGGGGCUGCUGUUCCUGCUUGUCCACGUGGAGCUUCUCCAAUGACCCUGGAAAGAGCAGCAUUGAGGAAAUGUCCUAGCACACUUUCAGGGGAAGCAGAACGUGGUACCACAGAAAAAUUCCCAAAUCUACCCAUGUGGGAGAUGUGUCUGUAAGGAACAGGGUCCUGGGUAGCAAAUAACUUGUGGCCACACAUGGAAGCAGCUUGCCAGGAACAGCUGCAUAUCCAAAUGAGGAUGCCAGCAACAUUUUCCUGGUUAUGGAAACAGUGAUCUGACAAAAGAUCCCUGGGUUACUGGGCUUUAGAUAUUGAUAUCAAAACAUCUUUGCCAACCAAGUAUUGUCACAUCCAUGAGAAGCAGAUCUGAGUUUAACAGUUUGUUCAGGUCCUCUAGCAGAAUAUUCUGCGAAAACACUCAACUUGUUUCAUGCUUUUGUGUGUUCAAGGGGAAUUUUGGAGAACACUGCCAUAUAAACAAGUAUGUUAACAACAAAUAUUUCAGUAGCAAUAGGGGCCCACGGGAAUAAGAUCAAAGAUUACUUUUUGAUGUCAUGAAAUAGAAGCUAGAUAUAGGUUUAUAUAUGGGUUUAUGGUUCAUCUCAUUAAUAGAAAAACAUGGCAGAAACUGAACAUGAAAAGCUGUUGUCUGGUCUGACUGCUUUGAAAUGGAACAUACCAAGACCUCUCAGUGAGCUGUAUCGUAAAGUAAUAGGGGCUAUUGAGCUUUUUUCAUGUGUGUGAAGUUAAAAGUAGUAUUGCUUUUCAUUUUGCUUUUCUCUGUGAGUCCUACAGCAUGCACUUGCAUUGAUACAUUCACAA